CAAUGAAAUGGGAAAGUUGUUUUUUUAAAGAACAGUAAGCAGAAUAAAGAAGAGUAAGCAAGCCUUUGCAAACAAUAAAAAAACACUUUAUCACUUAAAGCUGUGACUAUGCUCUGUGUCUGGUCCAGACGAGAAUGAAAAACUCAACUACUACUUAGCACAGAUAGGAAGGAGAGAUCAACAACAACCGCAGAUAGAUAGCCAAAACAGUGACUGUCCCAGAAGGAGCUGUUUGUUCCCUUAUUCUUUUAGCCCCUCCAUUAUCCCGUGGAAAAACUGAAAAUUACUUCACACUCUUUAUGGCUUUUUUUAGCACUUUACUACUGCAUCGGCGUAGUCAAUUUGCUUGGCUCUGAUAUGAAGAGUUCUCAUAAUAGAAUCCUCUAUUACAGUUGAUCAAUACGGAGUUUUGAUGCCGUCUCGGACCUCUGCGCCCCUGCUUGCUUGCAGGAAGAGGCCAUUCAGGGUUCAGCUGAGCUUCAGUGCCAACAAUUACACUGAAGCAGAACCGCUGCCAGAACUGGAGCAGCACAGGACAAAAUGGCACAAGGGCAAGCAUUCUUUAUUCCUGGCCAAAGGCCAAGGACUAACUCUUCCAGCUUUGUACAAAAGUCCUUCUGUGUUAUGCUUGUUAAGUCCUGAGCUUCAAGCAAAUCUUUGUAACAUACAGGAUACAUAACGCGUAAACUAUCUGAUGCUAGCAAUUAUGCAGUCGGGGUGGAAUAGGAUUUCGAUACAGCCUCUUAGCAACCGGUAUCACAGCACCCAGACAACACGCUGCAGCCAGUUUUCAGCAUUUCUGGGAACACUGUCUUCGCUUCCCGAGAAAAGACAGACAUGAUGGGAAACGCUACCUGACAUGGCUCUGCAGGUUACCUGCAAAUCGGUCCGCAAAUAAUGGAAACCCAGGUUUAUUACCUCUCACUCUAUCGUGGCACCAUGUUAAACAGGAGGUUUUCAACAAUUAUUAGCUGCAUUUCUGGGAUAUUGAUGCAUCCUUACUGGAACUGAGACCCUGUGAGAAUGUCCACAAGUGAAAAGCAGACUUUGUCCUACAGAACGUCACGUCUAAACAGAAAAUAGGAACAGCUGCUGGCAAGAGCAGCAGAGACCCACGUAGAUGAAGUCAUCCUACAGAUCAGAGAUCAGUGUCUCUAUUCCCAAGUCUUGCCAACCCAAUAACCCCCCAGCCAGCACUGCCUCUUUGGGUAACAGCUUUUUUGGUGUCUUGAGCUCUACUUUGACUUUAUAAAAAGAACCCCAUCAUGGCAACUGGCAGCAUGGGAAAAUACAUACAGACAGACACAUGGAGAGCUGUAGCAUGUGACAGAUCAAAAAUCCAGUUUAUAGUUUAAAAAUGGUCCUGGCCUACCUACGUGGAUUGAUUGGGACUGUGGGGAGACAGAACGCUGCAAGCAAUUGUCAGAGAUUGCGAUACACAGGAUUUCCAUACAGAAAUCAGGGUAGAUGCUAAUACAGUUCUGAGAUACGGCAAGCCCCACCUAUGUCUUCCACGGCUGUUCUUGCACGGCAAUGGGAGAAGCGAGAUGCCUUCCAAAAAAGGAAGAGUUUUUACAGUUAAAACUCAUGACUAACAGCAGGGCUAUCCCAUCAACAAAGCAUUUAAGAAGCAGAAAAAAGCUCUUCCUGCUUCUCACAGGCCUUUCUACUAAGUGGAAAAAAACAAGCUUAGCAGCCGAGUUAACCUCUGUGAGCUCUCCCUCAGACAGAGCAGUCUGCAACUCCCUCAUCUCAUGGCAUCCCCCUGAGUUACCGUCCCAGGAGCGCAGCAUACUCUGUCUCAUCCCAGGGCUCACCAUACUUCGGGGUGGCAGUGACACUGGGGCUACGUUUUCACCUCCUGCAAAUUCUGAACCUGCAGAAGAGCAAGUUAGGGCAAAACAAUCAUCUUGCUUUGGUCUGAUGCAGUCGGAGGUGGAUCGGGGUGGAAGGUAUCUUCAUAUACAGUACAGUUUCAAUAAAAGCUAAGGAAUAAGAGAUGCUCCAUCGAGUUACUGAUACACUUGCUGCUCUGCCACCAAGGGGCAGGCAGGGGUGCUGGGAGGGGGCUGUGACCACAGCUUGCUCUGACACCAUGUGGAAGCUGGCAGAUACGCAGUGAAGCCAGGAA